AGAAGGGAGCUUGCUUCCCGGAUGUUAGCGGCGGACUGGGUGAGUAACACGGUGGGUCAACCGUGCCUGUAAGACUGGGAUAACUCCGGGAAACCGGAGCUAAUACCGGAUAGUUCCUUGAACCGCAUGGUUCAAGGAUGAAAGACGGUUUCGGCUGUCACUUACAGAUGGACCCGCGGCGCAUUAGCUAGUUGGUGGGGUAAUGGCUCACCAAGGCGACGAUGCGUAGCCGACCUGAGAGGGUGAUCGGCCACACUGGGACUGAGACACGGCCCAGACUCCUACGGGAGGCAGCAGUAGGGAAUCUUCCGCAAUGGACGAAAGUCUGACGGAGCAACGCCGCGUGAGUGAUGAAGGUUUUCGGAUCGUAAAGCUCUGUUGUUAGGGAAGAACAAGUGCGAGAGUAACUGCUCGCACCUUGACGGUACCUAACCAGAAAGCCACGGCUAACUACGUGCCAGCAGCCGCGGUAAUACGUAGGUGGCAAGCGUUGUCCGGAAUUAUUGGGCGUAAAGGGCUCGCAAGGCGGUUUCUUAAGUCUGAUGUGCACAAGCCCCCGGCUCAAACCGGGGGCACGGGUCAUUGGGAAAACUGGGAAAACUUUGAGUGCCAGAAAGAAGCGACGAGUGGAAAUUCCACGUUGUAGCCGGUGAAAAUUGCCUUCACAGGAUGUUGGCACGCAACACCA
rnacentral:rRNA from 1 species